rnacentral:rRNA from 1 species
AGAGUUUGAUCAUGGCUCAGAUUGAACGCUGGCGGCAGGCCUAACACAUGCAAGUCGAACGGUAACAGAAAGCAGCUUGCUGUUUCGCUGACGAGUGGCGGACGGGGGAGUAAUGUCUGGGAAACUGCCUGAUGGAGGGGGAUAACUACUGGAAACGGUAGCUAAUACCGCAUAACGUCGCAAGACCAAAGAGGGGGACCUUCGGGCCUCUUGCCAUCGGAUGUGCCCAGAUGGGAUUAGCUAGUAGGUGGGGUAAAGGCUCACCUAGGCGACGAUCCCUAGCUGGUCUGAGAGGAUGACCAGCCACACUGGAACUGAGACACGGUCCAGACUCCUACGGGAGGCAGCAGUGGGGAAUAUUGCACAAUGGGCGCAAGCCUGAUGCAGCCAUGCCGCGUGUAUGAAGAAGGCCUUCGGGUUGUAAAGUACUUUCAGCGGGGAGGAAGGGAGUAAAGUUAAUACCUUUGCUCAUUGACGUUACCCGCAGAAGAAGCACCGGCUAACUCCGUGCCAGCAGCCGCGGUAAUACGGAGGGUGCAAGCGUUAAUCGGAAUUACUGGGCGUAAAGCGCACGCAGGCGGUUUGUUAAGUCAGAUGUGAAAUCCCCGGGCUCAACCUGGGAACUGCAUCUGAUACUGGCAAGCUUGAGUCUCGUAGAGGGGGGUAGAAUUCCAGGUGUAGCGGUGAAAUGCGUAGAGAUCUGGAGGAAUACCGGUGGCGAAGGCGGCCCCCUGGACGAAGACUGACGCUCAGGUGCGAAAGCGUGGGGAGCAAACAGGAUUAGAUACCCUGGUAGUCCACGCCGUAAACGAUGUCGACUUGGAGGUUGUGCCCUUGAGGCGUGGCUUCCGGAGCUAACGCGUUAAGUCGACCGCCUGGGGAGUACGGCCGCAAGGUUAAAACUCAAAUGAAUUGACGGGGGCCCGCACAAGCGGUGGAGCAUGUGGUUUAAUUCGAUGCAACGCGAAGAACCUUACCUGGUCUUGACAUCCACGGAAGUUUUCAGAGAUGAGAAUGUGCCUUCGGGAACCGUGAGACAGGUGCUGCAUGGCUGUCGUCAGCUCGUGUUGUGAAAUGUUGGGUUAAGUCCCGCAACGAGCGCAACCCUUAUCCUUUGUUGCCAGCGGUCCGGCCGGGAACUCAAAGGAGACUGCCAGUGAUAAACUGGAGGAAGGUGGGGAUGACGUCAAGUCAUCAUGGCCCUUACGACCAGGGCUACACACGUGCUACAAUGGCGCAUACAAAGAGAAGCGACCUCGCGAGAGCAAGCGGACCUCAUAAAGUGCGUCGUAGUCCGGAUUGGAGUCUGCAACUCGACUCCAUGAAGUCGGAAUCGCUAGUAAUCGUGGAUCAGAAUGCCACGGUGAAUACGUUCCCGGGCCUUGUACACACCGCCCGUCACACCAUGGGAGUGGGUUGCAAAAGAAGUAGGUAGCUUAACCUUCGGGAGGGCGCUUACCACUUUGUGAUUCAUGACUGGGGUGAAGUCGUAACAAGGUAACCGUAGGGGAACCUGCGGUUGGAUCACCU